rfam:Clostridium sp. FS41 CLFS41_contig000063, whole genome shotgun sequence.
GAACGCCGUGUGAAAUGAAAGUUUCAUGCACGGUGUGGAGUGGGGGAAAAUCCGGAGAUAACUUCAAAGGAUUACCUAUCACUAU